UUCCGGUUGAUCCUGCCGGACCUGACUGCUAUCGGAUUGAUACUAAGCCAUGCGAGUCAUUGUAGCAAUACAAGGCAGACGGCUCAGUAACGCGUAGUCAACCUAACCUAUGGACAGGAAUAACCUCGGGAAACUGAGAAUAAUGCCCGAUAGAACAUUAUGCCUGGAAUGGUUUAUGUUCCAAAUGAUUUAUCGCCGUAGGAUGGGACUGCGGCCUAUCAGUUUGUUGGUGAGGUAAUGGCCCACCAAGACUAUUACAGGUACGGGCUCUGAGAGGAGUAGCCCGGAGAUGGGUACUGAGACACGGACCCAGGCCCUAUGGGGCGCAGCAGGCGAGAAAACUUUGCAAUGUGCGAAAGCACGACAAGGUUAAUCCAAGUGGUUUCUGCUAAAGGAACCUUUUGUCGGUCCUAGAAACACCGAUGAAUAAGGGGUGGGCAAGUUCUGGUGUCAGCCGCCGCGGUAAAACCAGCACCUCAAGUGGUCAGGAUGAUUAUUGGGCCUAAAGCAUCCGUAGCCUGCUUUGUUAGUUUUCGGUUAAAUCUGUACGCUCAACGUACAGGCUGCCGGGAAUACUACAAAGCUAGGGAGUGGGAGAGGUAGACGGUACUCGGUAGGAAGGGGUAAAAUCCUUUGAUCUAUUGAUGACCACCUGUGGCGAAGGCGGUCUACCAGAACACGUCCGACGGUGAGGGAUGAAAGCUGGGGGAGCAAACCGGAUUAGAUACCCGGGUAGUCCCAGCCGUAAACCAUGCAAACUCAGUGAUGCAUUGGCUUGUGGCCAAUGCAGUGCUGCAGGGAAGCCGUUAAGUUUGCCGCCUGGGAAGUACGUACGCAAGUAUGAAACUUAAAGGAAUUGGCGGGGGAGCUCCCACAAGGGUGAAGCCUGCGUUCAUUGAGUCACGCGG
rnacentral:rRNA from 1 species